rnacentral:tRNA from 1 species
UCCCUGGUAGUCCAGUGUCUUAGACUCUGUGUUCCCAAUGCAGGGGGCCUGGGUUCAAUCCCUGGUCAGGGAA